CUCAAAAUGAAUCUGUCUGGAAGAGAACCCCUUCUCUGAAGAGGAAUUAACACAUCCCUUCCAGACUCAAAGGCUUUUCCUCGCAGCUGACACCCCAUGCACAGCGACGGAAGCAAAGCAAAAGUCCAGCGCUUACUGUGACAGAACAAGUUAGUCUGUAGCUCACGGAACCUUUCCUUAACCCAAAUCAUCAAUUGAGAUGGAUCGCCAUAUUCCUACCGUACCCACGAGAUCUGUUUCCAGAAACAUAACAUCUGUUAUUUGUAUAAAAGGGACGUGUUUGUCCAGGCUUCAUGGGGCUGCCUGUGCAAAGCUUUUCCUCCAUCUGCUUCGUGCUCUGGCAGCAGCGUUAUCAAGAGAGUGAUCCAUGCUGAG
rnacentral:lncRNA from 1 species